AGAGCAACUGACUCUUAAUCAGUGGGUCUAGGGUUCGAAUCCCUAAGGGUGUA
rnacentral:tRNA from 1 species